AGAACGAACGCUGGCGGCAUGCCUAACACAUGCAAGUCGAACGAGACCUUCGGGUCUAGUGGCGCACGGGUGCGUAACGCGUGGGAAUCUGCCCUUAGGUACGGAAUAACAGUGAGAAAUUACUGCUAAUACCGUAUGAUGUCUUCGGACCAAAGAUUUAUCGCCUAGGGAUGAGCCCGCGUUGGAUUAGCUAGUUGGUGGGGUAAAGGCCUACCAAGGCGACGAUCCAUAGCUGGUCUGAGAGGAUGAUCAGCCACACUGGGACUGAGACACGGCCCAGACUCCUACGGGAGGCAGCAGUGGGGAAUAUUGGACAAUGGGCGAAAGCCUGAUCCAGCAAUGCCGCGUGAGUGAAGAAGGCCUUCGGUGUAAAGCUCUUUUACCCGGGAAGAUAAUGACUGUACCGGGAGAAUAAGCCCGGCUAACUCCGUGCCAGCAGCCGC
rnacentral:rRNA from 1 species